rnacentral:lncRNA from 1 species
GAUGGAGAUGCAAACCAGGGGCUGAAUACAAAAUUAAAUGUCUUCUUUGAUGAAGAAGAGAUCAGGAGACAGCAGAGAGACCUUGAGGCCAAGAUUAUAUGAGUUAUGAGGAUGAGGACUUAGGGGAUACUGAGACUGCUUAGAGAUGAACGUGUUGUGUUGCCUCUCAGGGUAGAGACAAGGGAAGCCCAGAUGCUGUGCUUUGGAUUUCAGUUUCAGACUCUCCCAAGAGAGCUAGGCGGGGUCCAAUGGCAACUCCUCUACUCCCAAAAGUUUGCUGAGCCAGCCAGAGAUUUCUUCAAAAAAGUUCUCUGACCAAAGCUAUAAACACCAAUAAGGGGACAUCUUUGUCAUUGGUCAAUAUCAAUCCAUCCAUUUGAGAGCCCUAUAGAAAAUUCCUUCAAGCAAAGGGCAAGAGGAAAACUGGAAGCUAUCCUGAGGGAAUUGUAGAAGGGGAAGGCAAAUCAGAACGUGCUAGUUUCUAAUAUGACUUCCUACUGUGUAUAAGAAUUCUUGGAAGUAGAAGAAAUUGGGGCUGGGGAAUUUGCUAUAGUCUAUAAGUGCUUUUUGAGACUAGAUGGAUGCGUUUAUUCAAUAAAGUGCUCUACAAAACCCUUUUCAGGGUUAUCAAAUCAGAAAUUGGAUUUGCACAACAUUAAUGCUCAUGUGGUAAUUAGCAGCCAUCACCUCCAUGUGGUACAUUACUAUCUUUCUAAUGCAGAAGCUGAUCAUGUGAUCACGCAAAAUGAAUACACUAAUUGUGGGGACUUGUAAGCUGCUAUAUUUGAAAAAGCUAAUGCUACACCUGGCAAUCACUUCCAUGAGUCCAAACUCUAGGCCAUCCUUCUGCAGAUUCCCGGAAGCUUAAGGUCAUCCACAGCUCUGUCAGGGUACACCUGGACAUCAAACCCAGUAACAUCUUUAUUUGUCAUGAGAUGCAAAGUGAGCCUCCUGGAAGCCUGGAAUGUUGAAAAUAACGCUAGCUGAUUUGCUUCUCUCUGCUGGUGUGAUAUAGAAAAUUGGUGACCUGGAUCAUGUGACAUCAACUAGCAAAGCAGAAGAAAGAUAUUUCCUUUGCUUCCAGGUUAAUGAGAUCUUGGAAGAGAAUGGCCAACACCUUUCCAAAGCUUAUAUUGCUUGUGGCUAACAACUGCAGUGUCUUGAGGAACAGUGUCAUUGCACACUAAUGGUAAUGUGUGGCAUCAUACCCACAGGAGUGGCUUAACUAACAUCCCUCAGGGGCUCCCAGAUGACUUUUACAGUCUACUCAGGCGAACUGAGAGAAGGUCGGCAGGCCCCUUAGAGAGACAUCCACCACAGUGGGCCUGGAACCUCGAGAGUCUACAGAGAGUGAAAUAGCACAAGACAUCUGGUGGGAGGGAAGUGUACAAAGUGUUCAAGCUUUACCAGUGGGAAACCUUCCUUUGA